rnacentral:rRNA from 1 species
UGAGGGAAAGGUGAAAAGAACCCCGGGAGGGGAGUGAAAUAGAACCUGAAACCCUGCACUUACAAGCUGUGGAAGCACAUUUCUUGUGUGACCGCGUACUUUUUGUAGAACGGGCCAACGAGUUACGCC